rnacentral:rRNA from 1 species
UGGGAUAACUUCGGGAAACCGGAGCUAAUACCGGAUAACAUUUAGAACCGCAUGGUUCUAAAGUGAAAGAUGGUUUUGCUAUCACUUAUAGAUGGACCCGCGCCGUAUUAGCUAGUUGGUAAGGUAACGGCUUACCAAGGCGACGAUACGUAGCCGACCUGAGAGGGUGAUCGGCCACACUGGAACUGAGACACGGUCCAGACUCCUACGGGAGGCAGCAGUAGGGAAUCUUCCGCAAUGGGCGAAAGCCUGACGGAGCAACGCCGCGUGAGUGAUGAAGGGUUUCGGCUCGUAAAACUCUGUUAUUAGGGAAGAACAAAUGUGUAAGUAACUGUGCACAUCUUGACGGUACCUAAUCAGAAAGCCACGGCUAACUACGUGCCAGCAGCCGCGGUAAUACGUAGGUGGCAAGCGUUAUCCGGAAUUAUUGGGCGUAAAGCGCGCGUAGGCGGUUUCUUAAGUCUGAUGUGAAAGCCCACGGCUCAACCGUGGAGGGUCAUUGGAAACUGGGAAACUUGAGUACAGAAGAGGAAAGUGGAAUUCCAUGUGUAGCGGUGAAAUGCGCAGAGAUAUGGAGGAACACCAGUGGCGAAGGCGACUUUCUGGUCUGUAACUGACGCUGAUGUGCGAAAGCGUGGGGAUCAAACAGGAUUAGAUACCCUGGUAGUCCACGCCGUAAACGAUGAGUGCUAAGUGUUAGGGGGUUUCCGCCCCUUAGUGCUGCAGCUAACGCAUUAAGCACUCCGCCUGGGGAGUACGACCGCAAGGUUGAAACUCAAAG